rnacentral:rRNA from 1 species
UUGAAAGGGAAACGAUUGAAGUCAGUCGUACCUACGAGUAAUCAACCUACUCGAGUGCGAUUUUGUGGGUAUGUUAGAGCUUAAAACCUUCAUGCUUACAAAUUGGUGCUCUUUGGGCGUACUUUCUCGUAUGGUAGGUUAACAUURAUUUCGGUCGUUAUAAAAUGACUGGAGGAAUGUAGCUUCGAUCUCGGUUGAAGUGUUAUAGCCUUUGGUAGAUGUAAUGAUUGGGAUUGAGGAUUGCAACGGAUACCCUCUGGGCUAUUCGUCUGAUCUCUGGAAGUUACCUUGGUGUCGAAAGCGUGCUUACGAUAUUAAGGUUGACGGCCAAUAGGUUAGAACGUGAUUAAAUUCGUUAAGGAUGUUGACGUA